rnacentral:lncRNA from 1 species
UUACACAGACCUGUUUUGAUAAGAGCCGAGCAGCGAUUCUUCAAUUUCGGACCACGACCUAGCUAAAGGCUAAUGGUUCCAAAUGUCUGAAGUACCGAAGACUGGGCUAGCUCCUUGUUUUUUUGUCAUGUCAAAUAAAUCGUGUAUGAUUGCAACAAUAUUGGCAAAAUAUCGUUGUGCUUUAUAUUUUGAUGUACUGUGAACAAAACAAGUGCCCUAUGAGACCAUCAUGAUUUAUGCAUUUUCAAACUAAAUUUUACGACACUUCUUGUUGUAUUUUAUGCUUCCAUUAAAAACAGUCUUACUACGUUUUACGCCAAAUUUAUGACACUUUUUGAUGUGUUUUACAGCAAUCUCUUUGCGAAAUGAGAUUGUGCGCGUGUUUUAUACUAAAUUUUGUACUCAUAUACGCUGUUUUAGCUCACGUUUUACGCUGAAAUCAUUCGAGCCAGAACCCGCGCACGAUCGGCUGCACGUGAUUUUCACGCCGUAAUUUUUGGCUCUGUUUGUUGUUACAAAACAGAUAUAGGAUUUACGCUAAAUUUCGUACUCAUUUACGUUAUUUUAGCUCACGUUUUACGCUGGAAUCGGCCCGAGCCAUGACCCCGCUCACGAUCGGCUGCUUAAUUUUAGGCCCCAUUUGCUGUUACAAAACAGAUAUAGGAUUUACGCUAAAUUUCAUACUCAUUUACGCUGUUUUAGCCCACGGUUUUGCUGGAAUCCGCCCGAGCCAGAACCAGAACCAUAUACUGCAUGAUUUAUGCUGUCAAGUACAUGUCAUUAUGCAGUCGUAAACGCUGUCCACAGUGUCAUAUUCGUUCCACGUGAUUCGGGCUUCAAAAGAUUCCUUUAUGCAUGUUUUACGCAUCUUUAUCCAUAUAUAUAUAUGCAUUCGUAUAUUGCGUUACGCUUAUCGUCCUAGAAUCUUGGCUGUUGACUGCAUGGCUGACGCAAGCAUGCGGGUGCUGAGUCGACCGCGCCCUGGCUGGGGCUUCCAUUAGUAGGGGAAGCCCAGGGCUUCCAUUACCUCUUCCCUAUAUAUAUAUAUAUAUAUAUAUAUAUAUAUAUAUAUAUAUAUAUAUGUGUGUGUGUGUGUGUGUGUGUGUAUAUAAAGAGAGAGAUAGUAGUUAGAUUAGAAUGAACAAAAUAUGUAGUUGUCGAUAUAGAGGGAUAUGAGUAUGCAGGAUUGCAAUAUAGAGUAAGAAAUCUUGAUGAUUAGGCUGUGAAUUUAGUGAUGAAAACGUCUAGAAACGGUAUUUAUUCGGUAAUAAGUUUGUUGGAACUUGCUCUCAGCAGCAAGGAGGCCAACAGGGGUGAACAGUGGCGACAACAGGGUUACGUGCUCGGGGGCAAUAGCUCUGUUAAUCUAUCCUCUCACGGGCACUGUGCGAGGGUAUUUAUAGGUAUCUGAGUGCCCAGCGCCUUGUGUUAAGGACGCAUGUGCCCUCAGACGCCUAGUUUAUCCCUAGAAUAUUCCCAUAAAGCAGGGUUACAGGCUGUAAUUACAAGCAUGCCUUUACAGAUCAGGCCCGUAACACAAAGGCGGCCACGCAGGGCCCGUUACAAUGGGCCAGAUCACACGUGGGCCUCAGAGCCGAACGAGGCCGCGCUGCGGGUUGGUUCCGCCGCAGGCCUUCGUCUGGUGCCGAAUGGAGCGAAGGGUGUCCCCGCCCGUUUUGUCUCUGUCAGGCCAGCGACCUCAGCGAAGGCCUCGAGCGAAGGGUGGCGUCUUUGCCUUCGCCCCAACAAAGUUUUUAGUUGCUUUUCUUUGGUUGCGAAUAAAUAGGAUAUAAAAUACACUAUACAAAUUUGUAUUCUUGUUUUUAACAUUGAGCUUGUAAAUAUUCAUAAAAGAUAAACCUCAAAUUCAUCCUAUAUAUUAUCAAAUGAUAGAUAUAAAAUUCGGUAUGGAUUCGAAAACAAAUUCGAUAAUUUUUUGUUUUAGAGAGAAAAUAAUACAUAAAACAAGUUAUGUAUUAUUUUAUUCUUAUUUGUAAUAAUGUGUUUGAUAACAUAUGAAAAGAUCAACAUCAAAUUUUAUACAUAUCUAUUUUAAAAUAUUGAAUUUGUCCUAAUAGUUUGGAUCACCACUUUCAUCUGUGAGUAAUGAUAUAGAGUAAGGAUUUAGGGGGUGUUUGAAUGCAAUAAAGCUAAUAGUUAGUUGGCUAAAAAAUUACUAGUAGAAUUAGCUAGCUAAUAAAUAGCUAACUAACUAUUAUUUGGAUGUCAUCAGCUAAUUUUAGUAGCUAAUUAUUAGCUCCAGUGCAUUUAAGCACCCUUUAAAGUAACCUGCAUCGUGGAUAGCCUUAUAGAUCCAGCUAGACUGGAUGCCACCGAGUUACAUAAUUUCGGUGCUCUAAAUUUGUCUAGACUUAAUUUAGCUAGACUCAAAUGCCACCUGAUGGUGCUCUACACUUAUCUAGGCAGCCUAUAGAGGCUACCAUUGCUUCAAGAAAAAAAAAGAACAUGUGGGACAGUGGGAGGGGAAAAAAGGCGAGUGUGAGCAAAAGCAGAAAAGCGUAAGAGAAAGGAGUGAUACUAUCUCGGGACCACGAAACAAGUGAAUGGUGGCUUCCAACAUGUGAACAGUACUGCCAAGUACUUAGUGUUGAGCUUUUCGUGUGAGGCCAACACUUGUAUAUAUAUGUGUGUGUCUAUAUAUAUAUAUAUAUAUAUAUAUAUAUAUAUAUAUAUAUAUAUAUAUAUAUAUAUAUAUAUAUAUUGUAUAUUAGGAGCCCUGGGCUUCCAAUAACUAAAGGAAGCCCGGGCCAGACAGUGCAAUCCGGUCGAGUCGGACCACAUCCGGACGUCUAUAAAAUAGGACCCGGAGUGCUAUGGUUCAAUUUUUCAUGCCCCAUCUCGAUUCAUUAGCGACGUCGGUUGCCCGAUAGCGCGCGCGCGGCGGACCCCGGCCAGUGGCUGCGGUGGCCGUGGCUCCCCGACCUCGACAUGCGGUGGUGGCGGUUCCCAGGCCGGCGGUGGCGGCCCCCGAUCCAGAGGGCGAGCGGCGGCAGCGCCCUUGUGCGGCGACGACGGAUCCCAGGCUGGUGGCCGCAACUCCAUUACCUCGACGCGCGGUGGCGGAGGUUCCUCGAUCUGCAGCGAGGCCCUUGUGCGGGCAAGCGGCGGCGUCCCCGAAGCCCCGAGGAGGCGGCACUUCCAAGGCCGACGAGCAAGCGACGCCCGUCGACGUGCGAGUAGCGACGGCGACGCAUGAGGCGCGAUGUUCGAGCGAGCGACGUCACGAAAGGGGCGAGAUGCGCGCAGCGAUGAUCGCGCGUGACAUCCUCCGAUCCGGCGCAUUUUUCUUUUCGUUUAUUGUGUUUUAUGCCUACCACAUGUAUUAUUUACGCUAAAAACUGUAUGAUUUUAUGCUUUAACACAGGGUUCGUAUAUCAGUUUACUGCAUGCACAUUGGAAAGACAAUUCCUUGAUUUAUGUUGUUCUUAAUUUGCGCGCAUGCAAUAGAAACUCCCACGAUUUUGCCAUAAUUUUUGGAUCUGUAUAAAAAUAGAAACCGCAUGCAUGCGGCUGCCAUGUUUUCGGAUCUGUCAUAAAAAUAGGAUCGUAAUAACAACCUACUAAAGCUAUCAACCUCUAAUUGACUCGGUAUUUACGCUUAUAAUUGAGGGAUUUUAUGCUCAAAACUUAAGGUUUUUACGCUCCAUCCGGAGAUGCGUCCACCAGUGAACAACAUGCCAGAUUUUUUACGCAGUGUAAGGAAUUGCAUAAAUACCUACACCGUGUAGUAUAAUUUGUUUCAGUAUACAUCAUAAACUAGUUCUAAUGCGUUUAGUUGCAUGGCUGUUGGAGGGAUCCUAUAUUUAUGAAGCAAAUGAAACAUUAAAUGUGAUUUUUUUGUUUCUAUGCAUGCAAUUCAUUUCCUUUCAUUGCAUAUUCUUUCCAUCAUAAAUUCGUGUGUAUGCAGUCUGUAGCAGAUUUUUACGCAGUAUACCGAAUUGCAUAAUUAUCUACACAGUGUAGCAUAUUUAGUAUCAGUAUAUAGCAUAAAAUGGUCAUUACGAGUUUUAGUUGCAUGUCUGUUGCAGCGAUCCUAAAUUUAUGGAGGAAAUAAAGCAUUUAAAAUAGAAACCGCCACACCUAUCUUUCCUAAAUUUACGCGCAUGCAAGGGAACGUGUUUGACUCAUGCAUGCAUUUUGCCAUAAUUUUAGGAUCUGUAUAACCGCAUGCAUGCGACUGCCAUAUUUUUCGGAUCUACCAUAAAAAUAGGAUCGUAAUAACAACCUACUAGAGCUAUCAACCUCUCACAUUGGCUCGGUAUAUACGCUUAUAAUUGAGGAAUUUUAUGCUCAAAACUUAAGGUUAUUACGCUCCAACCCGGAGGUGCGUCCACCAGUGAACAACAUGCCAGAUUUUUUACGUAGUGUAACGAAUUGCAUAAAUACCUACACCAUGUAGUAUAAUUUGUAUCAGUAUAUGUCAUAAACUAGAUUUAAUGUGUUUUAGCUGCAUGGAUGUUGGAGGGACCUUAUAUUUAUAAAGAAAAUAAAACAUUAAAUACGAUUUUUUGUUUCUAUGCGUGUAAUUCAUUUCCUUUCAUUGCACAUUUUUUUAUCAUAAAUUCGUGUGCAUGCAGCUGGUAACAGAUUUUUACGCAGUAUAUCGAAUUGCAUAAUUAUUAACACAGUGUAGCAUAUUUAGUCUCAGUAUAUAUCAUAAAAUGGUCCUUACGCGUCUAGCUGCAUGGCUGUUGCAGCGAUCCUAAAUUUAUGGAGGAAAUAAAGGAUUUUAAAAACAGAAACUGCCGCACAUAUCUUUCCUAAAUUUAUGCGCAUGCAUUGGAUCGUGUUUGACUCAUGCAUGCAUUCUUUUUUUUUGCGCUAACAGACGUUACAAGAUUAUUUUACUUCUUUAAAUUGCCAAAAAAAUCACAAUUUUGCCAUUGUGAUUGGGGCUGCUUUUUUUUUACCCUUAGCCUUAGUGAAAUUUAACCGGAUCUGUUCAUUUUUGUAUUUGAGUGUUUUUAAUGGAUUAGAAAAUCUUUCUUUUGAUGUCUUGCUAAUUCAAUGUGGUAUAAUUUCAUCGAUUUUUAGAUUUUGAUCGUAUCUAAGAGAUCCUAUUUUAUCCGGGUUGCUAACUCAAUGAU